GCUGGGUACGGUGGCCCAGGCCUGUGAUCCCAGCAAUUUAGGAGGCUGAGGCUGGAGGAUUGUAAAUUAGAGGCCAGUCUCAUCAAUUUAGCAAGACCCUGUCUCAA
rnacentral:sRNA from 1 species